UUGGACUUGCGUGUCAACAUGGCGGCUUCCAUGGCAUCCCAGGCUGUAGCGAAAGGACUGAGGAUAGCUACUUCAAAGCACAUACUUCUUGAUAAAGCGAAGUGCACCUGGUUGAGUCCGAGGAGAUGGCUGAAUCUACAGGAGUACCAGAGCAAGAAGCUGAUGCAAGAGAGUGGCGUAGCUGUCCAGCGCUUCUAUGUGGCUGACACAGCUUCUGAGGCACUGGAGGCUGCAAAGAGACUCAAUGCCAAAGAGAUCGUGCUGAAAGCUCAGAUUCUGGCCGGGGGCAGAGGCAAGGGUGUGUUCGACAGCGGCCUUAAAGGUGGAGUGCACUUAACGAAGGACCCUGCUGUCGUUGGUGAGCUGGCCAAUAAGAUGCUGGGUUUCAACCUGACUACUAAGCAGACACCAAAAGAGGGAGUGAAAGUGAAAACGGUGAUGGUUGCUGAGGCCCUGGAUAUUACCAGGGAGACAUAUUUUGCCAUCCUAAUGGACCGCUCCUGCAAUGGUCCUGUCAUAGUAGGAAGCCCCCAGGGAGGUAUGGAUAUCGAGGAGGUGGCUGCUAGCACCCCAGAACUCAUCUUUAAGGAAGCCAUAGAUAUCUUUGAAGGUGUGAGAGACGACCAGGCACUUCGCAUGGCAGCUAAUUUGGGUUUCAAAGGAGCUCUGCAGAGACAGGCAGCAGAUCAGAUUAAGAGGCUCUAUGAUCUGUUCCUGAAAGUCGACGCCACUCAAGUUGAAGUCAAUCCUCUCGGAGAGACUCCCGAAGGACAAGUGGUUUGCUUUGAUGCUAAGAUCAACUUUGAUGACAACGCUGAGUUCCGUCAGAAAAGCGUGUUUGCCAUGGACGACAUGACGGAGGCCGACCCCACGGAGAUGGCGGCAGCAAAGUGGGACCUUAAAUAUAUCGGACUGGAUGGGAACAUUGCCUGCUUUGUGAAUGGAGCUGGUUUGGCCAUGGCCACGUGUGACAUCAUUGACCUUCAUGGAGGAAAGCCAGCAAACUUCUUGGACCUGGGUGGUGGAGUCAAAGAGAAACAGGUGUACGAGGCUUUUAAGCUGCUCACUGCUGACCCAAAGGCUCAUUGUGCUGAGAGGAGUGGAUGCGACGCGAGUGUACCGCUGGCACUGAAUAGCAGAGAUGGAGCAUGAGAUGACAAAGGCUUCCUUUUCUUGUUUGCUCACUUCCCCAGUAUCUACCCUUAAAGCAUUCAUUACCUUCAAAUUAUUAUGUUGUGAAUGAAAGGGGAAGAGAAAACAGAUAAAAUGGAGGGAUACCGCAUGAGAAGUGGGAACAAGACGGGAAAGAAAGUCGGAAUGAAAUGAAUGCGAGAAAAAUAAGCGAAUCAUAGAGCUGUAUGUCACCCCCCCACCCCACCCUACCCAAGUGUGUGCGCGUGCGUGUUCGCGUUAACUAUGUGGGAUGUUAUGUAGCUCAGCUGGGUCUACUAGACCAAUAAGGUUUGUUUGAAUUUAGGCCCCCGGCUUUUUUAACAGGAACAUAUUUAUCUCCCAUGCUAAAAUAAAUAGCUCCACUUUCUUCACAUCCACGCGUGGAACAGUUUGAUGACAGAAUGCCUGAAUUUAUUGAGGUUUUCCUCACAUCACCUGUAGGCACAGGAGCAGGCAGCAAAUACCAACAGCCAAAUAACCUCGUUAUUGCCUUGCGCCUGUGCCGUAAAGAAGGUGGCAGAUGGAUGUUUUGUCCAACUCGACAUCCAUUUUGUUCUCGGGGCUUAAGGCUGUUUUCUAUAAUUUUUAUAGGCUAGAGUAAAUGAUGACAUUUUUCUAAAACACACUCUUGUUGUGGCUAGAUGCCCGUAUCAGGGCCGCCAUUAUAUCAACCUACUAAUUGUCAAGGCGGCUUGUUUUGUGAUUUAUUGUGUCGCUGUUACGUAAUUAAUAUUCUAUUCAAGUAGGCCGAGCGUUUUCGUAAUACUUUAACCUUUCAUUCCCAUAUUCAUGCGUCUCACUGCGAAUGCAUAAAGGAGUCCUUUUCAAAGGUUUAUUACAAUGCGAAACAUCUAAAGCCCUGAUCUUAUCUGCGACUACGGCAAACUCGAUGUUUUCAAAUGAAUGAGAAAAUAAGCACGUACGUGCAGCCUGUCGGUAAAUGAACAUGUCGUGCUGACUCAUGAGUGUGUGUGGGAAGCUUGGUUAACAUUACAUUGAGUUUGUGCAUCUCAUGUGUUCACAGAUCAGCCUUUUGUUCCAAAUUUACUGUAAUGCAAACCAAAGUCGGCAGUAGAGAGGCAGCGCGGUGAUCCUGGGGAUGAAUACUGAGGUUCUUUCUGUUUCUUGACCGACAGUUCCCCAUUUCCAUUUUACAAUUUAUGAAAACUACAGAAUCCAAAGCAGUCUGACUUUAAAAAUGAACUGGCUUUCGGUGUAGAUAACGUCUUCCCCUUCCAGAAUAAGGUUGUGUUGCGGUGUUGCUCGAAGGAGAGUUGAAUUUCCAAAGUGAGCGAGCUGUCAGUGUUCUGCCGCCCACUCAGUUGUUUCUGCGUGUGUUCAAAGAGAUGGCGAUGAAGAAAGAACAAAAGUAUAAUGUGUUGAAAGUUGUAAAUAAUAUAAAAACUGGGAAAUAUUUCAUUAAAGCGAGGAAAUUACACAUUUAUGUAUCAGAUAUGAUAAUAAUGAAAACAGCUAUUCUUACAUUGUGACCUUAAACAUACAGGCUGUGUUUGUUUCUGCAUCUUAUGACAGAUAUUCUAUCUUUUUUCUUCUUUGUACAUUGUUACCUUUAGGCUUGUUGCAUACUGCAGUAGUUUGUCACGUCUCUGCGUUGUUUAAGGUGAAGCAGGCACGCUAUGAGGUGAAAGAGGCACAGACGGGCACAUUAGCAUUAGUAAGCCGGGGGACCUGCCUCUGAGGCAAAAACAAGAGUCGUGUACAUAUUCAUUUUUUGGAGUUGCAUAAUCACGCUGUCGAUCGUGAAACAUCUUUUAGCUCGCACUGGUUUGUGUGUUUGUGUGCGCGCGUGUGAGUGUGUGUGUGCGUGUGUGAGUGUGAAGGCAGUUUGAAAUGCUGAGACUCACCUGUGUGUAUGUAAUUUCGAGUUUCUCCCUCAGAGAGCUCUCCCUCCAUUCUCACUUGCUCUCUCCCUCCCUCUCGCUCUCUUUGUGUGAGAUUAUUAUGCGUGUCGCUCCAGCCCCCCCAUUGCCCUCAAAGAAAACUACACACAAUUUUACCUCUUUCCAGCUCAGUGACUCUGCUUUAACUCACCUGUGGUUCCCCUUUAACCACUUUCCUCGUUGUUGCAGUGACACUCCCGAGCCCUGCCGGCUCUAAGCCCCAUCUCACCCUCUACAGGGAACACACCACUAUUACUACCUCUCCAGCACUGUCUUAUGUUAUCUGUGAAACAGUCUUUACUGGUGUUAUACACCACUACUUAUGUGCUGAUGUAUACCCAGGCAUUUCCUGUCUGCUCCUGCUAGUCUGUCAUUUCACUAGUUCUUCUUGUGUUUUCUGCUUCUCUUUCUCCACCUUUUAUCUCUCCUUCUUUGUGCUUCUUCUUUCUUCCCAGCAGACUUUCAUCUCACUAAAUCCUGUUAAAGUCAAUGUGAAGAGCUUCCUUCAGUUUCAUGCCUGCUAGUUAAAUCCUGCAGGUGCCCAGGCACUGUUUCUCAUCCCUGUAUGGAGAUGUCUGUACCCGUGUCCAGUGUGCUCCACAUGUAUGCAGACAGAGAAAAGGGAAGAGGGCUCAGGUCCAAGCCAGGAGCAUUUUGUCAUCACAGCACCUGGUUCACACCACGGGGCCAGGGGGAGCCAGUCAGCGAUCAGAUAGGGCCUUUGGAUGCCACAGGGAGGUUGAAGCCAUCCUGGUCAACAUCUUUGGGGGCAUUGUUAAUUGUGCCAUCAUUGCCAAUGGCAUCACCAAAGCUUGCCGAGAGCUGGAGCUCAAAGUGCCACUGGUGGU